GAUGAACGCUGGCGGCGUGCCUAAUACAUGCAAGUCGAGCGAACAGACGAGGAGCUUGCUCCUUUGACGUUAGCGGCGGACGGGUGAGUAACACGUAGGUAACCUACCUAUAAGACUGGGAUAACUUCGGGAAACCGGAGCUAAUACCGGAUAAUAUUUCGAACCGCAUGGUUCGAUAGUGAAAGAUGGCUUUGCUAUCACUUAUAGAUGGACCUGCGCCGUAUUAGCUAGUUGGGAAGGUAACGGCUUACCAAGGCAACGAUACGUAGCCGACCUGAGAGGGUGAUCGGCCACACUGGAACGGAGACACGGUCCAGACUCCUACGGGAGGCAGCAGUAGGGAAUCUUCCGCAAUGGGCGAAAGCCUGACGGAGCAACGCCGCGUGAGUGAUGAAGGUCUUCGGAUCGUAAAACUCUGUUAUUAGGGAAGAACAAACGUGUAAGUAACUGUGCACGUCUUGACGGUACCUAAUCAGAAAGCCACGGCUAACUACGUG
rnacentral:rRNA from 1 species